CUUCCUCCUUCCUGGUCCCCAAAUCAGGCCCCUCCUGCCCACCCGCUGGGCUCGGUGGGAGGCUACCAGCAUUUUGGCCUGGGGUCUCUUUCUAUCUUUAAAGACUCUUCUGCCUGCCUCUUCCACAGUGAAAGACCCUUGUGAUUGAAUUGGGCCCACCUGGACAAUCAAUGACAAUUGCACUGUCUUCAAGUCAGCUACAGCUAAUUAGUAAGUUCCAUCUGGAGCUUUACUUCCCUUUUCCAUUGUAUAUCAGUCACGUUUCAACCAGAGAAGCAGAACCAGUAGGAGAAAUACAUAUUUUAAGAAAUUUACUGCGAGGAAUCGGCUUAUGUGAUUGUGGGUGCUGGCUAGGCAAGUCUGAAAUGCAGGGUUUCUUGGUCAUUCAAGGGACAUACACAGAGCAGAGAAAAAAUUGAGUCAACUACAUUCAGAGCACGUCUCCCGCUGAGGUUAUUAACAAGACAAUGCUCUGCUUUCCUGUCUCAGCUUUCAAACAGCGAUGACCGGAGGAUGCAGCCAGUAGGGGGCAGUGCAGUGUAGUGCAAGAAGCUCCAGCUUUAGGGUCAGUCAGAUGAGGUUUGAAGUCCGACCUUGAUAGUGGGGCAGCCUCAUGCAAGUUAUUUUACACUUCUGAACCUUUUUUUCACUCUUUUAAAAAACAAAAUUUUAAUUUUGAAUAGCAUUUUCACCUUUGUAAAAUAAAGAAAAUAGAAUCUACAAGGAUCAACUGUUUUGAGGAGUUAAGAUUAUAAUCUAUGUGAGAUAUGCUUGCUUAAAUAUGAAACAUAUAUGAAUGAGCACACAUCCUAGGAGCAAUGGUUCAGUAUUUGCUAAUUCAGUGUUUGCAGCUGCGUUUUGGAACAUAACUACCACAAAUAACAAGAAUUGGCUGUACUAAGAGAUGGCACUAGGGUAUCUCUUGUACAUUCUUCUUUACUUUUAUGCAUAGUAGCAACCCAAUUUCCCCUUGAUAAUCAGGACAAAUUACUUCAGCCAAUACAGCAUCCCUUUCUUUGUCUGUGAAUGUUAUGUAAUGGAAUCAUACAUUAUGUAAACUUUUGGGAUUGGCUUUUUCACUUAGAUAAUUCUCUAUAGAUUCAUCCAGAUCGUUAUGCGAACUAAUAGCUCAUUCCUUUUUACUGCGGAGUAAUAGAUGUGCCAGUUUGUUUAGCCAUGAGGUUUGAAUUCUAAUCCUGUUAGUGGGGCAGCCUCAGAUGAAUUAUUUAAUACUUCUGAACCUCCUUUUCGCUCUUUUAAAAAACAAACUUUAAAUUUUGAGAUAGUUGUAGCAUUUUCAUUUUUGGAGCUAUUAUUAGUAAAACUUCCAUAAGCAUUCAUGUACAGGUUUUCGUGUGAACACAAGUCUUUGUCUUCUGAGAUAAAUGACUGGCAGUGCGUGGUAAUUGCAUAUUUAGUUUUAGAGGAAGCUACCAAACUUUUCCAGAAUGGCUGUGCCAUUUUAC
rnacentral:lncRNA from 1 species